GUGGGGGCGUGGGAGUAAGUUUGGGUGUGGGUGUGGGUGUGGGUGUGGGAGUGCCCAUGUGGACAUUAGGAAGUUACGAGGGAAGAGAAAGAAACGGCAUUAAACCAGUGCUGUACAACCCAGUACACCAGUGCAUGAGCUCCUUACAAACCAGUACACCAGUGCAUGAGCUCUUUACAAACCAGUACACCAGUGUAUGAGCUCUUUACAUCACAGUACACAGUGCAUGAGCUCUUUACAACCAGUACACAGUGCAUGAGCUAUUUACAACUCGAUACACCAAUGUAUCAGCUCUUUACAACCCAGUACACCAGUGCAACCCAGUUCACAAAUACAUGAGCUCUUUGCAACUCAAUUCACAAAUACACCAGCUCUUUGCAACCCAGUAUUUAGUAAAUGAGAGUGAUUACUUAUCUUCGUUCUUUAAUGUUGUUUAUCUAGAGUCUUGGAAAAUGUUAAAUAACAAGUACCUAAAUAAAUGAUUAGGUAAACAUAGACAGGUAAACUGUACACGUUGGAGAGUUGUGUCAUUCUGUGAACCAAUAAACGCCUUUCACAAUGGUUUUAAAAUGUACAAGUGCUAAGAACAAAGGCAAAAGAGUGCACACACUAAGGACAAUAACAAAAAAGUAAUAUAUAUAUAAAGAAAAACAACUAACAACUCGAACAAACCUAAGAAAAUGCAACAUUCAGGACUCAUCCACAACGUAAGGGUAAUUUGUGUUUCCACACCUGCUGUGCUCUUUUUGUUGAUUCUUCAGCUGCUUGUUUACUAUUAGUGCGAAAGUGAUAAGCUAAACAAGGAGACUUUAAUUAUAGAAUAAAAGAAAUGUUAAUCCUUCAAAACACGCCUUGCAUGUGGCGUUAUUCAUCCAUCUGGACAGUGUACAGACGCGGCAUACUACUUUAAUGAACAAAGCAAUGGUGGAUGCUUAAUAAUGGGACAUAUCAUGGGGAAACAGUAGCAUAAUUCUGAACAUCAGAAUUAUGCUACAUUCGGAACAUGUGAGGAUGAAGGCAAUCUGUGGAAAGAGAAGGAAGAGUGAGGUGGAGAGGGGUGGAAAGUAGGUAGGGGAUGAAGAGUGUGAGAAGAGUGGAGAGGUGGAAAUGAAGGGAAAAAGGGAAGAUGAGAUGAUGGUUGAAGAGGGAAAGGGUGGACGAAGGCGGUAGUUAGAUGGUACAGAGGGAGAGAAUGGAAGGAGAGAGUGAGACUGGAGAGGGAGAGAAUGGAAGGAGAGAGUGAGACUGGAGAGGGAGAGAGUGAACCGGUAGAAAGUGAACAGGGAGAAGGUAGAGAGGGUAAAGGUGGAUUCACUAGGUGUCUCGGUUUUCUUUAAGUUUAGUAAGGUGUAUUAUCUUGAUGUUUCACUUUGUUUCUGGACCGUUACGAACCAAACGAAGAAAAAAGGAAGGAUCGACGACAUCCGUAAUACAAGACGUCAGUGCAAGGUGUUUACAUGCUACAACAAUCAUUACACCAGAGCGAAGUCACAAAGGUUCAUCACUAAGCACCUAGCCGGUCCUUAUUUCAAAUUCUGUUAUGUCUAAUGUUUUUUGUAACUUGCACCCAUGAAAUAUCUAUGGCUAUUACAAAAAUAUAAUUUUACCUCGCAAAGAAUUUCAUAAAUACUUUCAAGCUCUAUCAAACACACACACACGUCUUGUCAAAUGAGGAAGGGUUAAGGUCGAAAUAAAAAAAAAAAUAGCGUUGGACGUCAGGAUGUUACGAAAAGAAAAUAAAUUAAUUAAAAUCAACCAAAAUUAGGUAUAAUAUCA